rnacentral:rRNA from 1 species
AUUGAACGCUGGCGGCAGGCUUAACACAUGCAAGUCGAGCGGGGUGAUGGUGCUUGCACUAUCACUUAGCGGCGGACGGGUGAGUAAUGCUUAGGAAUCUGCCUAUUAGUGGGGGACAACAUCUCGAAAGGGAUGCUAAUACCGCAUACGUCCUACGGGAGAAAGCAGGGGAUCACUUGUGACUUUGCGCUAAUAGAUGAGCUUAAGUCAGAUUAGCUAGUUGGUGGGGUAAAGGCCUCCCAAGGCGACGAUCUGUAGCGGGUCUGAGAGGAUGAUCCGCCACACUGGGACUGAGACACGGCCCAGACUCCUACGGGAGGCAGCAGUGGGGAAUAUUGGACAAUGGGGGAACCCUGAUCCAGCCAUGCCGCGUGUGUGAAGAAGGCCUUAUGGUUGUAAAGCACUUUAAGCGAGGAGGAGGCUCUUUUGGUUAAUACCCAAGAUGAGUGGACGUUACUCGCAGAAUAAGCACCGGCUAACUCUGUGCCAGCCGCCGCGGUAA